CGGGUCCACGUUCGUGUGGGUCGGGAACUCGGAGACCCAGUGCCCGGGGCAGUGCGCGUGGCCGUUCCACCAGCCCGUGUACGGCCCGCAGACGCCGCCGCUGGUGGCGCCGAGCGGCGACGUCGGGGCCGACGGCAUGGUGAUCAACCUGGCGACGCUCCUCGCCGGCACCGUCACGAACCCGUUCGGGAGCGGGUACUUCCAGGGCCCGGCGGAGGCGCCGCUGGAGGCGGUGUCGGCGUGCACCGGGAUAUACGGGUCGGGCGCGUACUCGGGCUACCCGGGCCAGCUCCUGGUGGACAAGGCGACCGGCGCGAGCUACAACGCCAACGGGCUCGGCGGUCGGAAGUUCCUGUUGCCGGCGAUGUGGGACCCGGAGACGUCCGCCUGCAAGACCCUCGUGUGAUCGCGCCGCGUGGACGACGAAGAACAUCAUCGUCGUCAUCCAUGUACUACGGUCUGUAAAUAUUGCGGGGGCGGUUCGCUGUACUGUUGUAUUAUAACUCUGUCUGGACUCGGUUCGCGGUUUGACCGAUCCGAGUCGAACCCGGGUCGGUUCGAUUCGGACCGGGUUUAGACCGGGAAUGGGCGACGGUAAGUGUUGUGUGUCGCGAGGUUCGAGGGAUGUGGGAUAAAGACGAGUCGAGACGAGUUCUCUCUUGAUUUUCUUUGGGGUUUCUUUUCUUUUUUCUCCCUUAGUUUUUCUUUCGCACCGGUUGUGGUAGGAGUAAUAAUUGUAUAAAGAAAACGGAGAAAGAGAAUAUAUACAAAUUAUAAAGAGUUUAUAUGUAUAAGAAAUGCUCACUUUGCAUUUUUUUUUCCUUUCUUGAGCCAAAAUCUCGGCAUGAUCACCUUUAUAAAAGGAGUUUGACGACCCUCGUCGAAGAAGAGAGAACCCGACAAUCAAGCCAAUUAAGUCAUGAUAUUGCCUUACUAAAUUCAAUUUCUCUCUAGCCAAAAUUGGAUUGCAAUUGAUAGCUAACUCUUUUAAUGAUUAUAUGACAAUUGUUACAACUCAAAUCAAAUACCUUACGAUUUCACAAUAUUGACUUGGUUAGUCAAUCUUAACGUCUCGAGAUAGGCGCAACUUUUCGUCCUUUACGAGAUGAUAUUAUUUUCCUAUGGGUCCAAUUUUUUUUUUUUUUGUCAAGCUAUGGGUCCAAUUUAUCUCUCUAAAUUUUUUAGCUAAGAGGCCAUUUUAUCACGUGGCCAAAGCUGAUUGGGAAGAGAAGAUAGUGCAAAGGAACGGACACGUGGGAAUGAAGAUGUGUAAGAUGUACGGACGAAGAGACCCCCAUUUUGCCAUUUAUAGCUGUACAAAAAAACAUUCGGGACCAAACAUAUCCUUUCGUAAAUCCGGAAUAACAUCAGGUUAGUUAAAAUUUAAUUUACCAUAUUAAAAUAUAUUCUUUUUUGUUUAGUAACCAAGUAAAGAUAUUUACAAAAUAGGAUAGAUGAUUAUUGAUUAAAAAAGAAAAAUUGCAAUUUUGAUUGUAAUCAGUAACCAUACGUUAUAAAUUCUAAUGAAAUCAUAAAAUUUUUAAUUAUUUCAAUAUACCAUUAAAAUUUUAGAUGAAAUUUUAGUGUAAUUAUUUCGAUUCAUUCUUGUCUGAAAUUUGCUAAUAUGACAAUCCUUUGACAAUCCAGUCGUAGCCGUACAUGGCAAGUUUGGGAAAUGAAAAGUCGUAGCCGUACACGGCAAGUUUGGGAAUUGAAAAGUCGGAGAAAUAAAGGUGAGGGGGAAAAUGCUUUGAUGACAAACUUUAAGAAAGAAAAACGGGUUUUAUUUUCCUCAGACUCUUAACAACUCGGCAUUUUAAUCUUUGUUUAAGGUUUAGCUGUAUACAAAUCGGCAUGAAGACACUGCCCUUUGUAAUUGUACCUAAACGUUGAGAUAAAAAAAAUUUUGAAAAAAAUUACUAAAGGUAGGGUUAUUUUGAGAUAUUGACCCUAUUUUAUCUAACUUAUUUUUUCUAUUUUUAUUAAAUAUAUUUUUUAGAGCAAAAAAUAAAAUUUUUGACCUCCCAAAGAAAAAAAAAUCUUCAGCUCCGUCACCUAUUGAAUUAUACCAUGCCAUGUAAGCAAAUCAAAGGCUACUCUAACUCAACGAAAGACCCAAAUUGAAUGAAAAUCGAAAGUGAGGUACUUUAUAAUUGAUUAAUAUUAAGGUGGUUCUGAAAAUAAAAAUAAAAAUAAUUGACACAAAGGCACGGAUUCUAUUAAUAAAUGAGGUCGCUCAUCAAUGCGAUUAUCAUCCUUAGCUUGAACCUCAAAUAUAAUAUAUGUGGUUCCUAUAAUAAAAUAACUGCAUAAUAAUGCUAUCCGAGAGAGAAAAAAUAAGAUAUUAUCAUAGUUAGGGGCUCUCCACUCUAUCUUCCCUAGGAAACAUAUUUGAAUAAUAAAAAGGCGUUCCAAAGUAAUGGCUGAAUCUUAUGACAUCAUCUAUCAUAUCAGUUCCUUCUCCACUAUUAUUUAAUUCACAAGCAUUUCUACUGGUUUUUGCUGGCUUAUUUUUUUCCCUCGGUCCUAAUGAUAAUUGGGGAUCGGUGUUAGGAUGAGAUCACAAACCCUCGACCUACCCUAUUAGAACUGAUUCUUAGUUGCUUGUUUGUAGUAUUCUCAAUCAAAAGACUUGUUGGGUUUGGUUUUGAACAAAUUCAAAGCCUGUUCUACUUGAAAACCGGUCUUAUAAUCAAUUAGAUCAUUCGAAAGUCAAGAACUGGGAAUAGAACCGGUCAUAGUUGGCUUGUGAAUCUUUUACUCCAGAGCUGAGCCAAUCCCUAUGUGAAUCAGCUAGAUAAGGUCUGUUCGAUUUGAUUUUUGAACUAAACCAGUCCGGUUGCUCACCUUAACUCACUAAUUCGUCAUAAUUCAUCUAACCUUUUCAGUGAUGAACUUGAGAAUCACUUUUUUCUACAACACCUAUGACUUGACAGUGCCAUGAGUCAUGACAAAGCCAAAUCAUGCAUGAAGAGAAGACAUUUCAACGCAUACCCACAAAAAGAACCAAUAAUUUAAUCUGGCUCGCCUAAUCCAAGAAAAUGUUCAUCUAUAAGGACCAAUAAUUGGAAACCGUCCACAUCACGAUUCGAUGGUGACAAUUUUGAUGGCACAGAUAUUAUCAUAUUCCUUUUCAAUAAAACUAGUAAUUAUAGGCACACUAAGUGGAUAGCAUUCACAUUGCAAUAAAGAUAUCCUCCUAUUUAAACACAAAAUAAUUAAUGAUUGCGUCGUCCGGCAAUGAUGGAUUGAAGCCUCCCACUACACAGGUCAUAAUUAUAGAUUAUAUCAAAAGGUGUACACUCGCUGCCUAAGACCUUAUCAUUCAAGCUCAUCUUUAAAUUCGAAUGCCAUAGACUUUAUGUAGUUUGGAUUUUACAAUGGUGCAUGAUCGUUUGUUUUCUAUUGUAACCAGUGAAAGUGCUUUUCAAGGCCACGGCAGGAAGUCACCUGACGGCAAUACUCUCUAACCUUAGAUGGAACAAGAAAUAAGAUAUAUCGUUUGAAUAUCCAUACAUUGCUUUUCUAAGGAAUUUAUACAUUUUUAUAUACUUGUAGUGUUCCUUUACAUAUUAACUCAAAUUUUAGGUUCGAUUUUUCAAACAAGAUAUUUGAGUCAAAUUUUGCCUUAGUUUAUCUCUUCCGCAUGCCCUCUUCACCAAAUUUCACAUGUAGUUCUACAUUUAUUAUUUAUGGGAUUUAUAUGCCCUUAUAUAUACGGUCUUCCUUUACCCAUUAGAUUGAUUUUUAAAAAAAAAUAUUUGAAGGAAAAACAGAAACAAUGAAAAUCAACUUUUAAAUUUAGGCAUUUUCUAUCUGAGUGUUCAUCUUUCACUCUCCAACUUAGCACUGCAUUAUUCAAACAGAAUGAAUCAUAUCAUUGUUGAUGACUUCAAUACAAUACACCUUUUAUAAGAUAAAUGAAAUUUCAGUCACAAAUUAGGAAAAGUUUUGAAAUUUCUAUGAGAAUGCGAGAUGGGAAAGUUCAAUUUUUUUUUUUUAAAAAAAAAUCCACUCUCCUUUUCUAAACAUAAGACUAAGGAUAUGAAAAACCGUACUUGAGAAAAAAGUGUUGUCAAGAAAAAAAUUGCUAUCAAACUGCACGUUAAGACGGGUCCACGUCCUUCCAUUUUAUUUUAUUUUUCCAUUAGUGUAUUCGCAAUCUUGUGGAUAUACAUGAUUUAACUAGCUUAAAUUAGAGAAUUCAUGCUGAAGUUGAUGAUGAUCUCAAGGUUUCGUCAGGUCAUUGGAUCGAUCAAUUCGCAGCCUCCUAUCAAAAUUAUGUUUCGUUGAAAUUCUGCGACUUGUCCAUUCGCCAUCUAAAUCAGUGCACCUUGGUUAGGACUGGACUGACCUCUCUUGUAGAAGCCGUCUCCAAUUUUCAGCAACAAUUAUGGUUCAUAUUCAUGUACACAUUCAUCAAGGAAACUUUCAUAGUACUUGAUGUCCAUAUCACAAAAAAGAAAAGGCAUAAAAUAUUAUAAAUGGCGCCGCGGCUGAAAAAUGAUGCUUCGAGAGAUUAUGAUUCGAGAUUAUUUAGUAGGGCAAAAGAUAAAAUUGGAGGGAGAAAACUAUUGAGAAAUAAUUUAGAAAGAUUAAGUUUGAUUGAGUUUGAGGGACAGAUGACAAUUGAUUAGAUUUGUUCUCCAACAGACACUUGAUGGCUCGAUUGAUGGCUCAAGUCCAUCCUCUCUUUUUCGACUCUACCCACAUUACAAUCCACACCCACUUCAUAAUACCUAGAUGUAACCGGUUGAUUAUAUGGCACCCAAAAAAUAUCAAUAUUGUUUGACGUCAAAGCACUAAGGCGAUAGGAUGUCACGUUUUGUGUGCUAUCUGUUUCAAUUCAAUCCAAAUCAGCUCCAUGUAUCUCUAAACCUAAAUCAUUGGUCACCACGUCAUUGUCCUAUCAUGGCCGAAUCAAUCACGCUAUGAGAAUUGUAACGACGGAAGGGUUUGCAUUUUGAUUAUGGUAGAGGAAUUCUUCCAUAUAUCGAUUAUCUGACAAUGAUUAUGGAAACAUUCUAUUUUACUACUAGAGAACCUAGUCCGGAUCCUUAAUUCUUUAUUUAUCUUUAGUUUUCUCUGUUUUCUAUGAUUUAUCUAUGAAUUCAACUUAGGGUAUGCAGAGAGGACUAUCCACACUUUUUUUCCAAGUUAAAGAGCCAAUAUGUGCCCUUCUCCAAACUUUGGGUAGAAAUGCCCUUACUCUAAUUCUUAAAAAAAUUAUGAAAUAAUUAAAUCUUUUAAGCGUUAUAAUUUUUUGGAUUUCGCCAAAAAAAAAUGUCAAAGUAAAACAGGAGUAAAAAAAAUCAAGAAUAAUAUAGGUCCCUCCAAACACAUAGCAAAAAAAUAAAAAUAAAAAUACGUACAAGUUGGAAGAAAAGUUAGGAAAAAAAACCUACUCUUUGCUAUUUUGUUGAAUCGAACGUAAAAACAAAUGAUUGCGUGCAUUAUUUGGCUAUACUUUGUCGUUGCAAUUCGUUCUUUAAAUACGCAUAUCUGAAAUCGGAUCUCGCUUGGGAUGGGGUUGGCCAAAUGACCACAUCAAAGGGCCAUCAUAAUGAUUGACAAGCGUCCGUCCUCGCCCUUCUAUAAGGUCCGCUCACCCGUUUCAUUUCUUUUUGAAAGAAAAAAAAGAAGAUGUAUGCAUGCAAAAUUAUGGCAGGAAAUUAUGGUGGGGAUAUUUUUAAUGCAUCCAUGCAAAGCACACCGACAAAGCUGAUGUCAUACAAAGAACGAAUAAGGACAAUUUUCAAAAAAUUGGAAAAAUGAUUCAUGUCACACUUGUAAGUAAUUUCCUGUCAAAAUUGAGCAAAUGGACUAUAUUGACAAAUUAUCAAAAAGUUUAAAAUUAUAUUGGUAAAAAUUAAAAGAUUUAAGUCUAAAUUGAUACAUAUGUAGAAGGGUACUGUACAACGGCAGAAUAUUUUCUUUAAUUUUAAGAUUAUUUUGGUAAUUUUCUCAAAAUAAGCGAUACCAUCCUACAAAAGAGAGAAAAUCCAACGAUGAGAACAAUCAGAGUCACCAUAUUACCUUAUUUAGUUCAACUUAGCUCUAGCAAUAACUCAAAUGAAACCAAUGGCACAAGCUCUUAAGAAUUAUAUGACGGUCCAAAAGACUUGAAUGUCAUCUAAGACCUAACUAAUUCAAUCAACCUCAAUCAUUCGCCAUGCCAUGCACAAAUUUUCAUCCUCCACAAGUUUUAUUUUUUAAGUCAAAUGUAUAUCUCUAACAUUUUCUAACGAUAACUUGAUGACUCGAGGGACAGUUGAUGACACUUGAUUGAUUAGACUUGUUCUCCAACAUGUACUCGACGGCUCAUUUCGCGGCUCAAGUUCAUCGUCUCUUUUUCGACCCUACCCACAUUACAAUCCAUACCCACUUCGUAAUAUCUAGAUGUAACCCGUUGAUCAUAUGGCACCAAAAGAAUGUCCAUAUUGUUCAACGUCAAAGCACCAGAGCGAUAGGAUGUUGUGAUUUUUGUGCUAUCUAUUUCAAUUCGAUCCAAAUCCGCCCCAUGUAUCUCUAAACCUAAUUUAUUGGUCAUCACAUCAUCGUCCUAUCAUGACCGAAUCAAUCACACAAUUGGAACUGUAAUGAUGAAAGGGCUUGUAUUUUCAUCAUGUUCUUUGGAUUCUUCCAUGUAUUGAUAAUCUAACGAUGAUCAUGGAAACAUUUUAUUUUACUACUAGAGAACCUAGUCCGGAUCCUUAAUUCUUUACGUAUCUUUAGUUUUUCUCUAAUUUCUAUGAUUUAUCUAUGAAUUCAAUUUAGGGCAUUGUAGAGAGGACUAUCUACACUCUUUUUUCAAGUUUAAUGGUCAAUAUGUGCCUUAGGAAACACUGAUACUUUCUAGGAGUUUUCGUAUCACACCAGACACUACAACGCGUGUCCGACACUCUUUGGUACUUUCUUUUGACACUCAAUCAACAAGUAUUGGAUAUUUCGACACAUCAUCAACUCUCUCGAUAUUUUUCGACACACGAGUCAAAAUUCUGACACAUGUUCCAACACCUAAGAGAUCAAAUUUAAAAUUUUUCAAUAAAUAAGGAGGUCAAAUUGUAAACAUAUAAAAAAUAAAAAUUAAUAAAAAUAAUAAGGGGGAAAAACAUACUAUUCUCUUCUCUUUUAACUCUCAUUUCCCAUAAUACACAAUUCACCCCAAGUUUAUUUUUUUCUCUUCUCUUUCGAAACACUUUGACAAGCAAGUCCAAAAUGUGGAUUCUUUGUUUUUUCGCUCCAAGUUUUAUGGAUUAUUGGAAUGAAGUAGAAUUUGUCAAAUUGAAUUAAUAAAUGAUAUUAACAAAUUGUGGAUUAAUGUUUUUAGUGUUAAUUCAUUCUAGGCUUUAUUAUUAUUUAUUUAUGAAUUUGAAUCAAAUUAAUUUGAUUAAAAUAAUCAUAAAAAUGAUAAUUUAUCAUGCAUAUUUUUUAUUUAAUAUACAACGUGUCAUAUGUCGAAAUUUUCUAUUUUUUGAAAAAUGACGUAUCAAUGUGUCAUAUUCUAUCAUGUCACGUGUCGAUAUUGAUGCUAAUUAGUAUGUGGCUUCUCCAAACUUUGGGUUGAAAUGCCUUAAAAAAAUUAAAUCCUUUUUAGUGUUACAAUUUAUUGGAUUUCACAAAAAGAAAAUGUCAAAUUAAAAUGGAAGUAAAACAAAAAAAAUAAUAUAGUCCAGUCCAAACAAGUAGCCAAAAAAAAGAGAGUACAAUUUAGAAUAAAAAUUAGGAAAAAAUAUUUUUUGCUGUUUUUUUUUUUUGGUAUUGUAUUUUUUUGCUAUUUUAUUGAAUCCAAAAUAAAGACAAAUGAUCCGUAGACCCUUUGCCUUGCGUGCAUUAUUUGGCUCUACUUUGUCGUUGCAAUUAAUUCUUUAAAAAUGCAUAUAUAAGAAAUUGGAUCUCCGUUGGGAUGGUGAUGGUUAUAUCACCACGUCAAAAGGCCCAUCAAAAUCGAUGGCGAGCGUGCAUGCGAAAUCAUAAUUGUAAGAAAAUUCUAAUUUUAUUGUAUUGCGGUUAACUCAAUUCUAAAUAUUUUAUUUAUAUUAAUUUAAUCUUAAAUUUUUCAAACGUGUUAAUUUAGUCAUAAUUUUUUAAAAAAUUUGUCAAUUUAGUCAUAAACAUUUGAAUGAUUUAUUAAUUUAGCCCUAGUGGCAUGGUCAGAUGCAACAUGGAUAAUUUUUUUCAAUUUUUUAAAUUUUUCUAAAUUUUAUUUUAUUUUCUCUCCUUUUCAUUUUCUUUUUUUCCCCCUUUCGAUUCAUGAUUAAGGUCGAUAUGGGGAUACGAGUCACCUGCUGAGGCCCAGCGACCCUUUGCAUUACAAAAACUUAAAAAAUACAAAAUGUUACAUAUGGCAUCACGACUGAAAAAUGAUUCUUCCAAAUAUUUCAAUUUAAGAUUAUUUAUUUAGAGAAAAAUGCAAUGGAACAAAGAGAAAAAUUAUUUAGGAAAAAUUUAGAAAGAUCGAGUUAAUAUUGAGCCCGAGGGACGGAUGGUGCUUGUCUAAUUGGAGUUGCUUUCCAAUGGAUCCUAGAUGGCUCAUCUCACAGCUAAAAUUGGUCCCCUCUUUUUCGACCCCGCUCACGUUACCAUCAAUAACCUACUUCUUGAUAUAUCGGUGAACCAAAAGGAAAAAAAAAUUCGUUUGAUGUCAGAGCACAAGGACGAUAUAAUGUUAGAGUGUCACAAUUCAAGUCUUGUAGAAAUCGGCCAACAAGCAAAUUGGUGGUAGACCCUAUUGCAUUACGUGCAUUAUUUGGCUUUACUUUGUCCUUCCAAUUCAAUCUUUAAAUGCGCAUAUAUAAAAUCGUGUCUCUCUUGGUACGGUGUUUGGUUAUAAGACCACAUCAAAGGGCCAUCAUAAUGACUGGCGAGCGUGCGUACAUGCCCUUCUGAUUAUGUUUCUUUCAAGAUGCAUGCAUGCAUGCAAAAUUAUUGCAGCAAAUUAUUGGUGCGGAUAUUUUUAAUGCAUCCAUGCACAGCACACGGCUGAUGUCAUACAAAGAACAACUAAGGACAAUUAUUUUAAAAAAUAAAAUAAAUAUUGUUCUUAUCAGCGCCAACUGACCCAUAUGGCACGGGAAAUUAAAAGAGUUAUGACUAAAUUAGUAAAAUCGAAAGAUUUAGGUCCAAGACAGCACAAGUUCAGUAAUUUUAUAACUUUUUUGGUAAUUUUCUCGAAGUAAUUUGAUACCCUCCCAUAGAAGAGAGAUAAUUCAACAAUCAAGCUAAUUGGGUCGCGAAUAUUGCCUUAUUUUGGUUCAAUUCAUCUCUAGCAAUAACUUGAAUGAAUAAUAGCUCUAACUCCUACCGAUUAUGUAGCAAUCUCGAAAACUCAAAUUCAUCCAAGACCUAACCAAUUUGGUCAACCUCGAUCACUUCUCGUGCCGUGCACAAAUUUUCUUCCUCCACAAGUUUGAUUUUUCAAGUCUAAUUUAUGUCUAACAUUUCAGCUGCGAGUCCAAUUUAUUGCAUGCAUUGAAAUCGAGCUGAACCAUGUCAUGAGAAGAAAUUACGAAGAGACAACAGUAUGGACAAUAGGCAUACCCACAUUUUUGGCAAUUAUAGUGGUACAAAAGAACAUCCGGGACACCACCCACCUGGGUGGCGUUGCUGGCUUUGGGCCCUCUCCCCCUCGUGAAGGGGAGGGCUUCAAAUCCCCAGUGCGUCGCAGGGUGAUUUAACUGCUGGCGUGAGUAUGGUGGCCAGCUUGCGUCAGCCCCAGGUUCUUUCCGCCGGCUGUCGACUUUCGGGGUUUCUUGGGUCAUCAAAAAAAAAAAAAAAAGAACAUCCGGGACCAAAAUUAUCCUUUCAUGAGGCCGCCACAAUUAUGUUAGCCAUGUCAAAAUUAAAUUACCAAAUCAAAAUAUAUUCUUUCUGUUUGGUAACCAAAUUAACAAAAUAGGUAAUUACCAAUAUAAAUUACAUGGAUUCUAACGUAGUUCUAAAUUAUUUUGAUAAUUUAACGUAGUUCUAAAUCUUUAGGAGUUUGUCGCUAGAUAUUUGACCAAAUAGGAUCACGUGAAAUCUACUAUAUGGCAUAAUAAUUUAGUUAUUGUCGGCCAGUCGUACCAAGCGGUGUUGGCCGGCGAUCGAAAAAUCAAAGGGAUAAUAAAUAGGGGCGAAUUGUUUGACGAUAAGAUUGACAAAAGCAAGUGGGGUUCGGCCUUGGCAUGAUUGAAUGCGUGUUUUCUUCGAGCGUUGACCGUGAGAUUUGUCCGCUUGUGUGCCGACUCCUCCCCCACGCGCCGCCACUUCAGGCGCGUGAUACUCCCCUUGGAAUUUACGAGGGCUCGGCGGAGGCGGCUGCUUGCUUGGGAGGUGGGAAAGAGAGAGAGAGAAGGGAGCGUGAAACGACCUCGUUUUUCUCACCGGCGCAUGAUCCGGCCACGUCAGUUCACAACUUAACAUUUUAAUAGAGAGAACAAACGGCAGUUUAAAAAAAUUUGAAGUGAAAAUGGAAGGUUUGAUAGAAGAUUUAAAGGGUCGAGAUAUUUUUUUAGAAGUUGACCAAAAGUCAGCUUAUUGGAAGAUAUUGACCCUGCUAUUUUGAUUGUAUAUUCUAUUCAGAAGUUUUUUAAUUUAGUAUACCUUGUACCUCAUCAUAAUUAGUAAAAGAUAUGGAUGAUCAGUUUUAAUAAGAGUGGGUUUCAAAUCAAGAAUUGGAAACUUAUCCUAGUAAAGCCACUUCCCCAUUACCUGCUUAUGCUAGAAUGCUUAAACUUUUUUUAUUUUUCCGCAAAAGUUCUCAAUGAUGUGACUCUUAGGGUUUGGCUUAAGGUCGAUUCUCGAGUUGAAUCGAUCAGCUCAAGGCCAAGAAACCGGUCAAGGCUAGGUCCCAAGUUUUCUAUUUGAGAAUUGAACUGGUAUUUGUGUGGACGUGUUUGUAGUCAACUGAGUAAGACUCGUGAGGAUACUUAAUAAAGGACAACCCACAAAUAUGUCGUGCUUCCUCUAAACUUUUCAUUAUUGAACAAGAGAAUCCCAUUUUUCAAUCACACUUUAACUUGACUGUGCCAUGAGACGCGACAUGCAUGAAAAGAAGCCAUUUUUCAACGUCCACCUAAAAUCAAUCGAUAACUUAAUUUGACUUGCCUGAUCAAAGAGGAUGUUUAUCUAUAUGGAUCAAUAAUUGGAAACUGUCCAAUCAGGAUACGAUGGUGACAUUUCGGUCACUCAGACACAAUUAUAUUCCUUUCCAAUAAAAUAAGUAAUUACAGACACAUGACUAUAGCAUUCGCAUUGUAAUAAUUGGCAUCCUCCUAUUUAAACAAAAAAAAAAAUUAAUCAAUUUUGAUGGUUGUAUGACCACAUCAAAAGGCCCAUCAAAAUGGCGACCGUGCAUCCACGCCCUUACGCAUGCAUGCAUGCAAAAUCAUCCAAGCAAAUUGUUGGUGCGGAUAUGAUUGUCCAAAAAAUUAUAAACUAAUUGGUCAGUGGUUAAUUCGAUCUUAAAUUUUUCAGUUAUGUCAAUUUAGUCAUAAAUAUUUGAUAAUUUGUCAAUUUAAUCAUAAAUCUUUCAUUGUAUUUAUUUAGUUAUAAACCUUUUUAAAAAUUUCCAAUUUUGUCGUAAACAUUUUGACGAUUUUUUAGUUUAAUCUUACAUGGCAUUGUUGAACGCUGACAUUGAUAAUUUUUUUAUAAUUUUUAAUAAAAUUUUGAAUAUUUUAUUUCCUUUUUUCUUUUCUUUUCUCUUUUCAUUCAUGGUUAAGACUGGUAGGGGGCCGUUGGCUACCGGCUAAGGCCUACUGACCCAUUGCGAAAAGCAAAAAAUACAAAAAUGUUAUAAAUGGCAUCACCACUAAAAGAUGAUUCUUCCGGAUACUGCAAUUCGAGAUUAUUUAUUUGGACAAACAUGCAAUGGAGCGAACAAAGAAAAUUAUUAAUGAAAAAUUUAAAAAAGUCUACUUAAAAUCGAGCUUGAGAGACGGGUGGCACUUGUCUAAUUGGAGUCAUUUUCUAACGGAUCCUAAAUGGUUUGUCUCGUGGCUCAAAUUUGUCCCUCUCUUUUCUGACCCUACUCACACACCAUCAAUACGCACUUCUUGAUAAAUAGAUGAACCAAAAAGAAUGACAAUUUUGGUCGAUGUCACAGCGCAAGGACGACAGAAUAUUAGGAUGUCACAAUUCAAGUCUUCUACAAAUCGGCCAACUAGCAUAUUGGUAGACCCUUUUGCAUUGCGUGCAUUAUUUGGCUUUUCUUUGUCGUUGCAAUUCAUUCUUUAAAUGCGCAUAUGAAAUUAGAUCUCUAUUGGAACGGCGUUUGGUUAUAAGACCACAUCAAAAUGAUGGGCGAGCGCACGUCAUGCCCUUCGAAUUAAAUUUCUCUCACCCUUUUUUAUUCGUGUUGAAAGAAAAAAAGAAGAUGCAUGUGUCACGGGCCGAUCGAACCUCUUGGACAUGCUAACUUUCGGGCCGUGACACAUGCAUGCAAAGUCAUUGCAGCAAAUUAUUGGUGGGAAUAUUUUAAAUGCAUUCAUGCACAGCACACAGCUGAUGUCAUACAAAGAACAACUUAGGCGAAUUUUUAUAUUUUUUAAAAAUAUGUAUGACGUAGGAAAUUGCAAGGUUUGGGAUAAAUUAGUAAAAUUGAAAGAUUUAGGUCCGAGUUGGCAAAAGUGCAAUAAUUUUAAGAUUUAUUUGGUAAUUUUCUCAAAGUAGUUUGAUACCCUCCGAUAGAAAAGAGACAAUCCAGCAAUCAAGCUGAUCGAGUAUUAAUAUUGCCAUAUUUGGUUUAAUCUAUCUCUCGCAAUAUCUCGAAUGAAACCAAUAGUUAUAACUCUUAAGGGUUAUAUAACACUUAAGGGUUAUAUAACACUGUUAUAAUAACAGUCCUCAAAACUCAAAUCUCAUCCAAGACCUAACCAAUUCGGUCAACCUCGAGCACUCUUGCUAUGCACAAAUAUUCAUCCUCCACAGGUUUUAUUUUUCAAUUCCAAUUUAUAUCUCUUAACAUUUUCAGCUGCAAGUCCAAUUUAUUACAUGCAAUGAAAUCAAGCUGAACCAUGCCAUGAGAAGAAGGUGCGGGCAAAAGUGAAUAUGAAGAGACAACAGUACUAGGGACGAGGUGGAGGGAAGAUGUGAGGUACGGACAAAAGGCACACCCACAUUUUUGGCAUUUAUAGCGGCACAAAAAAACAUUCGGGGCCAAACUUAUCCUUUCAUAAGGCUGCCAUAACUAUAUUAGGCAUGUUAAAAUUAAUUGCCAAAUCAAAAUAUACUCUUUAUCAAUGUAUUUUACGUAACAGCAUAAGUAAUUAUUAAUUGCACAGAUUUUAAGGUAUUUCUGAAUAUUUUAAUUUUUUUAAUGUAGUUCUAAACAUUUACAUGAAGUUGCUAACAUAAUGAUCUGGUUAUUGUCGGCCAUACUAAUCAUGGCUAGCGAUCAAAAAAUCAAAUGAAUGAUAUAGAGGGGCGAAAUGUGGACGAAAAUUUGAUAAAAGCAAGGGAAAUUGGCCUUGGCAUGUUGCCUCUCACGUGACAUAAUUAAUGUUAACACAUAAUUAAUAUUAACGUAGACAAAUUUUAUAAUUUUUUUCAUAUUUUUUAUAUUUAUUAAUUUUUUAUUUUCUUUUUUCCAUUGUGACUGGCAAGAAUCACUGGUAGGACGGACAGCGUCUAUGUCAAUGAUUCUUGAUCAAAAUUAGCCAAAUGGAUUCAAUCAGCAUAAAUAUAAAAUCUUUAGAAUUGAAUUGGUACAAAUACAAUAGAUUUAUAACUUUUUUCAUACUUUCAUCUCUAAAUUUAUUGUACGGAUUCUAACGUAGUCCUAAAUUUUUUUAUUAUUCCGAUGUAGUUAUAAACCUUUAGGUGAAAUCUAGUAUAAUCUCUCCGGUUCAUUAUUGCUCGGAGUUGCUCAUUUGAAAUCUAAUUAGCGUCGGCUGUACUAAGCGAUAUGACUGGGGAGCGAAAAAUCAAAGGGAUGAUAAAGAGGGACGAAAUGUUGGACGACAAACUUGACCGAAGCAAGUGGGGUUUGGCCUUUGGCAAGAUGCAUGUGUGUUUUCUUCAAGUGCUCACCCUGAAAUUGUCCGCUCGUGUUCCGACUCCGGCCCACGCGCCGCCCCACGGGCCACCACUUCAGGCACGUGAUACUCGCCAUGGAAUUUAUGAGGGCUCGGCAGAGGCGGCUGCUUGGUUGGGAGGCCGGAGAGAGAGAGAAGGGAGUGUGAAAUGACAUCGUUUUGCUCAUCAACGCAUGUUAAAGUAUGGACCGGUCACAUAAUAAUAAUAGGAUAAAUUUGAAGUAAACAUGAAAGGUUGGGUAUAGAUCUAAGGGGCCAAGGUAUUUUUCAAAAGUUUACUAAAAGUCAGCUUAUAUUAAGCCAACGACCCAGCUGUUUUCUAUUCUAGUGAAAUUUUUAUAAUUUAAUGUAUUUUGUACUGAAUAUUUUCUUGAUCCUAACCAUGAUUAGUAAAAGAUAGGGGUGAUUAGCCUUUAGUAGGUACAUUUCAGAUCGGGAAUCAUUCCAGAUCAAGAAUCGAGAACCUACUAUGUCAAAGCCGCUUCUCAAUUGCCUGCUUAUGCUAGAAUGCUCAACUUUCUACUUUUUUUUUUGUAAAAAAUUCUCAAUUAAGUGACUCUUCCUUGAUUGAAAGUUCCGCUCCGGAAUUGACAAGUUACAUGCUUUAUAUGAAGUAACCUAUGAGGUUUGUUUUAAGGCCAGUUUCCGAGUAAAAUUGAUCAAUUCAAAGCCAAAAAACCGGUCAAGGCUGGUUCUCAAAUGUUCAAUUCAGGAAUUGAGUGCCCCUCGUGUAAACGUGUUUAUAGUCCGCUAAGUAAGACCAGUACGGAUCCUUAAUAGAGGACGACUCUAAAUUUGUCGUGUUGCCUCUAACCUUUUCAUUAUUGAACAUGGGAACCACAUUUUUUAAUCGCAUUUGAACUUGACAGUGUUCUGAGACAUGACAUGAAUGGAAAUGAGCCAUAUUCAACGUCCACCCAAAAAAAAAAAAAAACAAUAAUUUAAUUUGACUUGCCUAAUCAAAGAGGUCGGUUGUUUGUCUAUAUGGAGCAAUAAUUGACUGUCCAAUCAGGAUGCGAUGGUAACCAUUUUGAUCACGCAGAUAUAAUUAUAUUCCUUUUCAAUAAAAAUAAAUAAUUAUAGACACAUAACUGUACAGCAUUCGCAUUGUAAUAAUGACAUCUCCUAUUUAAACAGAAAAAAGAACUAAUCAUUGCCUCUUCCGCCAACGUAAGGUUGAAUGAUGUAUUGAAAGUCUCGCACUUGUCAUGAUCAUAUGUGAUAUUAAAAUAGACACACUAACUAACUAAAACCUUAUCGUUUAAGCACACCUUUAAAUUCGAAUGUGGUAGGCUUUAAAUAGUCUCGAUUUUACAACGUGUCUGAUAUUUUAUUUUAUAUCGUUCCAUAAUUGCUAAAACCAGCGAACGUGUAUGUCGUGGCUGUAACAUGGAAGUGACCCGACGGCGAGGUUUCCUAACCUUAGCUGGAACUAAAAAAGUUAUGCUAUAUUAAGAAGAAGGAAAAAUAAAAAGAGGAAAGAUGAAAGUUUGGAUGAAAAAUGAGAGAAAGAGCUUGAGGUACAGAUGACAGUUGCCUUAUUAGACUUUCUCUUUAUUGGAUCCUCAAUGGUUAGCUUCGCGGCUCAAAUUCAUCCUCUCCUUUUUCGAACCCACCCUCAUCACUAUCUACACCUAACUUCAUAAUGUUUCGACGUAACUUAUACAUCAUAUAUUACCAAGAGGAUAACGAUUUUGUACAACACAAGGACAAUAGAAUGCUGCAAUUUGUGUGCUAUUUGUUUCAAUUUGGUCCAAAUCUACUACAUGCAUCUCUAAACCUAACUUAUCGGUUAGCAUGUUAUUGACAUAUCAUGGCGAAAUCAAUCACGCUGUUGUGACUAUAGUGAUGGAAGAGUCCUAUAUUUUCAUUAUGCUAUCAUGGCGAAAUCAAUCACGCUGUUGUGACUAUAGUGAUGGAAGAGUCCUAUAUUUUCAUUAUGCUAGUCUAAUUCUUCCAAUUAUCAAUUUUUCUAACGAUAAUCAUGGAAACAUUUUUACUACUAUAGAAGCUUAUCUAGGUCCUAGAGUCUUUGUUUAUAUUUAGUUUUCAUUCCGUGUUCUAGUGUUAUAACUGUAUAUAUUAUCUCAAUUCAGGGAUGCAAAUAUGACAUUCUAUAGAAGUUGGAGAGUCAAUAUGUGUCUUCUCCAAACUUUCGGAAGAAAUAAAAUGUCCGCUGUAUUAAAUUCUUUUAAAUUCGUAAAUAUAUAUAAUAUAUAUUAAACCUUUUUAAGUGUUGUUAUUUAUUGGAUUUCAAAAAAGAAAAAUCCAAGAAAGACAUAAAGUAAAACGAAAUAAUCAUGAUAUACGCCACUCCAAACACGUACCAAAAUUGAGAAAGUAUAUAAAUAUGUAGAAUUUGGAAUGAACGUUCGGAAAAAAACAUAUGUAUAUAUAUAUUUUCCUUACCAAAAAAAAAAAACACAUAGCAAAUUGACUAAAAAAAAACAUAUAGCAAAUGAUUGGUAGGGUGUUGGUAAAAGAACACAUCAAAAGGCCCAUCAAAAUGAUUGCCAAACGUGCAACGCAUUUAUGCAAAACUAUUCAAUCAAAUCAUGGUGGGGAUAUGCAAUGCACCGACGCAAAGCUCAAAUGAUGUGAAAACUCGUGUCUUAGAACUAAUUGAUUCAUGGUAUCUACCUUGAUUGCCAUUGCUAUGCGCAAAUUUCAUCCUCUAUAAGUUUUUUUCCUUAAAAAGCAUAUUGUCAAUACAAAAAAUAUAAAUUCAUAUCACGUGUUGACAUGUACGUAUUUUAAUGUAUGGUGAAUUUAGCUCAAUAGUAUUAAUUUGAGAAUUUUUGUAAAGAGAAAAAUAUUUUAUAAUAAAUGUGCCAUGCAUGCAUUGGUUAGAAAUUUUUUAAGAUAGAGAUAUUUAUUUGGAAUUUUUAAUGAUAUUAACACUGUUAUAUAUCUAAGCAUUAGUCAAGCUGGGAUGACUCCAUAAAGAAAUCCAACUACGAAAAGUACUCCUAAUAAUUUUAUCAGAAGGGACCUGUUGAAGAUUGGACCGGCUUAAAGGGCCCCACCCAGCGAGUGUAUGAGAAGCCGACACGUGUAAAACAGGUUGAAAAAUCGAAAAAUCGAAGGGACGGUAAGGAGGUAAGGAGGGGGCAAAAUGCUUGACGACAAACUUGGUAAAAAGCACGUGGGUUUUGGCCUUGGCAUGAAGCGCGUGUUUUCUUCGAGCGUUGACCAUGAGAUUGUCCCCUUGCGUACCGACUCCUCCCACGCGCCGCUGCUUCACGCCCGUGGCACUCGCCUUGCGUUGUUUUUUUAAAAUAAUAUAACAAAAAACUCCAAAUCGAUAUAUCUAUCGUAAAUUUAUCUCAAGUUAAAUUUUUUAUCAUAAAAAGAUCUCAAAUUAAUAAUCUUAUAAUAAAUUUACUCACUUAGUUUUUGUUAAAUUUAAUUUGACAUGGUAGUUGACAAGUGUAUUGAUUUUGAGUUUUACCCUCUAUUUGUCACAUAUGUAAUAGUUUAUAAUUUUUUUGUGGUAUUAAUUCAAUUUAAUAUAAAUUUUACAAGACAAAUUUGUCAUAAAUUUAUUAUUUUAAGGAUUUUGGUAAUUAAAAAUUAAUUUGGAAUAAAUUUAUUAUACUGUAACAUUCAAGACUUUGUACGAUUAAAAAAAAUUAAAUUUAUCACAAGUGUACCAAUUUGAGACUUUUAUGGUAUUAAUUCUUUCUUUUUUUUAUUAUCAUAUAGACGAGGUGGUUUAUAAUGAUAAUAUCGAUGAUUAUCAAAGAACAUUAAUUUGUUUCAGUGAUUUACAUGAUAAAAUUACUGCGAGUUUCUAUUGGACAGUCAUGAAUUUUGCCGGUAAUUGUUAAUUUAUUGGGAAAAUAUUAAUAGGCCAUCCAAAUUUCAUCCAUGCAAACUGGCUGACGAAGACUCAAGAAGGAAAAAAAACAAAAAUGAUAUUCAAAUCGAUAUUAAUAUUAUAAUCCGUUCGGUCAAUUGUCGGCUUCAAUCUUGCACGAUCGGUCACUUUUGAACGUGUUGGCCGGCCCAACCUAAUUAAUUUGCAUGAGUCGUCUAUUUCGGUAAUGUGCAUGCACCAUGUGAUUUUUUUGUUUUUAUUUUAUAAGUGAUUCUGGACACAGUUUGUCUCGUUGUCAUAUGCAAUUCUCAAGACAUUAAUGAUCUUAUCCAGACCACCGACCAAGGUGGCGUGGAUGGUAGAUCCUUGGCCCUCCCCGGUGGAGGCCAAGGUUCGAAGCCCCUGCGGAGGCAGUCUUAGCUACAUGGUGACUUAAGCGUGACGUCGGGGUGGUGGUUUCCCUGCUAGCGUCACCGGGAGGUUUACGGCGCACUGUCGGUGCAAGCUGGUUCCUCCUGCACCAAAAAAAAAAUAAUCUUAUCCAGUCUUUUCCACAAUUAUUCUAAUGGAAUAAUCAACUACUCAAAUCAUGUGUCAUUAUGGGUUUCGAUUAUAGUUAUUUAAUCAUAUCUUUUGACAAUUAGAAGAAAAGAAAACAGAAAAGGCUAAGUUCCAAAGUAAGUACAAUCGAUUUGUUUCGCAAAAAAUAAAUAAUUUUAGAUAUAUUUUCUAAAAUAUUAUCAUUUAUAACACUUAAAAUAAUUAAUUAAUAAAAAACAUUUUAACUAUCAAUCAUAAUUCAUAUUUAAACAUUUUUACAAACAAAAUUAGCUUGCACCAUUUCAAGUACAAGUUGGGCAGUCACUGCUAGGGGUGGCAAAUUGGUGGAUCGGGUCAGUUCAGGUAUGUGUCGGGUCGAAAAUGGAUCGACCUAUAUUUGACCAGUUUAAUCUGUUUUUAUCCAUAUUUUUGUAGUAUAAAUCUAAUGAUUUAUAUCCGACCCGACCCGUGCUGAGAAACCCUCUCACACCCAUGGUCCGACACUUCCAAUCCAAGUACCUCGGGCCAGGAAUUUCUUGAUCAGGUCCGAACCCGAUAGGUCGAGUGAACGGCGGUCGUUGAUCUCGUGGAGGGAUCGACGGUUGUGAUUCAUUUACUCUCAUUAGACGCGUGUCAAGGCUAAGUAAUAGUCAUUGCGGUCCAGGGGGGAAGUAAUAAUUGUCUGGCGUCAUCCGAAAAUGGUGCCUAUUUUUCACCCACUGCGCGACAGCUUUUUGUCCGUCCUUUGCUCCCGAAUUGGCAAGCCUCCCCAUCGUUCGAUAUAAGAUAAGAUAAGGAAGCAGUGUCAAUGUGUCAUAGGAUGAAUGGCAUUGUCGUUUUGUGAUAAUUUGCUGAUUCUUGUUCCUAAUCUAAAGGGAUGGUAACAGCUCACUUCUUUUAAGGAAUAUCCCCAAAGUACUUUAUUAAAACAUUUUUAAAAGAAUUAUGUUCAAUUUUCGAAAUAUUAAUUUUACAUAUCGUGAGUACGCUUAAUGCAUUAAGAAUUACAAUACUCCCGUGUCUAGUUAUUUAACAAGCGUCGCAUAUGGACUUUAAGAAAAUUAAUAACAAUGUUUUAGGCUAAAGUCUUGUGCUUGCUACUUGAUAUACAUGAAUAUUUUAUUUGAGUAUUUGCAAAGGAAGAUCAGCUUUGUUAGUGAAUAAAUUAGGCAAAACGGCAUAAGUUCGAUUUCUCGCAUCACUUAAAUAAUAAUAAUAAUAAUAAUAAUAAUAAUCCGGUGCAUAUCAGCCCAAAUGGCAAUCACUCGAAACUCAAGGCAAAACUUUGGUUGACAUUUUAUUAAACCUUAAAACUAGUGGUUGUAUCAUUAGGUGGGGGAUUUAUCUAGACAUUACUCUUCACAAGAAAAUAUUUCCUAUGUAAGUAACUUUUUCACACCUAAUCAUGGUCGGCAUUUUGUAAAAUUGUGUCAUAAAGGUACUUGAGAUUCAUGUUACCUCGGCUAUGAUUUUGAUAAUAAAAUCAAACAAUUAAUUAACAAUGAACACGUGUUGAUUUGAAUCAACGUAUGGAUUAAUUAUAUCUUCUCGUACUAUGUCAAACUAUUUCCUUUAAAUUCAUCUCUUGUCCGGAACGGUGAUCAUAUCAUGCAAAUGGGUCAUGUCCAAAAAUUAUGAGCACAAAGUCCUUUCAAGGGAGUUUAUGUGCUCCAUUAUUAGAGAUAAGAAUAUAGAAAUUUGGAGAAAGAAACCAAAAACGAAAGAGAGUUCGAUUUUGUCGGGUCUACACCCAAAUCUAGGAAAAAGCGGGGAGGCCUUGGGAAGAUGGGAUAAUGCACACACACAUCCUUUUUUACUCUCCCAUGUAUGCCAGCUAAUGUAGGAAUUGGAUGCAUUCUAAGUCCCCCAUGGCUUACCUUCCCUUUGUGGUCCUCAAAAUUCCCCUUCUUUCCCAACUUUGAUUGUGAUGGAAUUCUAGGCUUGCCACUCCCAAAUAAGAGAUGACAAUUGGGUCGCNNNNNNNNNNNNNNNNNNNNNNNNNNNNNNNNNNNNNNNNNNNNNNNNNNNNNNNNNNNNNNNNNNNNNNNNNNNNNNNNNNNNNNNNNNNNNNNNNNNNCGGGAAUGAAAACUAAAUAUAAACAAAGUCUCUAGGUCCUAGAUAAGCUUCUAUAGUAGUAAAAAUGUUCCCAUGAUCACCGUUAGAAAAAUUGAUAAUUGGAAGAAUUAGACUACCAUAAUGAAAUAUAGGACUCUUCCCAUCACGAUAGUCACAACAGCGUGAUUGAUUCCCCCAUGAUAGCAUAAUGAAAAAUAUAGGACUCUUCCAUCACGAUAGUCACAACAGCGUGAUUGAUUUCGCCCUUGAUAUGUCAAUAACAUGCUAACCGAUAAGUUAGGUUUAGAGAUGCAUGUAGUAGAUUUGGACCAAAUUGAAACAAAUAGCACACAAAUUGCAGCAUUCUAUUGUCCGGGGGUGGUGGGGGGUGGGGCUGGGUGGGGGCGGUGGGGCGGCGUUUGGGAAGGUGGGAUAAUGCACACAUAGAUCCUUUUUGACUCUCCCAUGUAUGCCAGCUAAUGUAGGAAUUGGAUGCAUUCUAAGCCCCCCAUGGCUUAGCUCCCUUUGUGGUCCUCAAAAUUCCCCUUCUUUUAGGCUUGCCGCUCCCAAACAAGAAAUGGGAAUUGGGUCUCUUGCUCUUUCAUUCUUCUUUUUUUUUCCCCAAAAAUUUUACCGGAUGGUAUCUAGUUUUGUUAACGAGUGUCUCGAAACACUAGUUAAUUGCAUUUGGUAAAGAGCUAUACCGAUUUCCAAUGUGUUGCUUUCGCAUAACAUGAGAAAGACAUGUAUUGUAAAAGAGAGUCUUUCCUAAUUUGGAUGUUUAAUAAGUGCCAUUAAGGAAAUUGUCCAAAAAAUUAUAAACUUAUUGUAUGGUGGCUAAUUUAGUCCUGAAAUAGUCAAUUUUGCUAAUUUAGUCUUGAACAUUUUGAUAACUUGCAAAUUUAAUUUUAGACUUUUUAACGAUUUGCCAAUUUCCCAAAAAUUAUUAACAUAUUGUUUAGUAAUCAAUUUAGUCAUAAAAUUUUCAAUUUUACUAAUUUAGUUAUAAACAUUUUUAAUGAUUUGCUAAUUUAAUCAUUUUAGUCAAUUUUGGUUGGAAAUCUCUGACGUGGCAACUGUUGACAUAAUAAGAUUUUCUUUUGAAUUUUUUAGAAAGAAAGAAAAAAAGAAGAUAAAGAUAAAGAAAAAAAUUAUAAAAAAAUGUAAAAAUUAUUCAUGUCUGCGCCAAUCAUGCUACGUAAGAUGGUGAACACUAAUAAUAAGCUUAGGAAUAAUUUGAUAAUAUUGAAAAUUUUAGAUUAAAUUGGCCGUUGGACAAUAGGUUUAAAAUUUUUUGGACUACAAAUCCCAUUGGCUAUUGUUUAUGAUAUACCAAUAUGGAAUACUUUCAGUUACUAUAAUAUAUAUAACACUUUAAUAGUAAUAUAAACAAUUAAUAUUUUAAAGAUCAUCUACUUCAUCUUGGACCAUGUUUAACAAAUAUUCAGAGGCUUAUUAACUGGACAUUUUACACACAACCUCUUUUAUCUCUCAAGAGUUAGAUAUAUAUACACACCCCCAUACAAGGUCUGUUUAUUUAGACUUUUUAAAAGUUCAAAGAAAAAAAUUAGUUUCUCAUUGUGACUUAAUAGCCAAUUUAAAAUUUUGUAAUUAUAAAAAAUAUAAUGGAAAUGUAUUCAUAUAAUCUGAAAGACUUUUGAAUAUUUGUUGAAUAAAUAUUAAAUCAAACCAAGUAAAUUAAUUCAUUAAGGAUUUUGAAAACGUACCCAUAGAUAUUUGAUAAAAUGAAUUAAUUAUGUUUUCAAAUUUGUAUUUCUAUUUAUGCCAUCAUAAAAAGAGAAUAAACUUCCACUCUUUAAUUUUUUUAAUUGAUCUCUCCAAAUUGAGGGAUCAUUUGUGUCAUUUACCUUAAUAUUUUCUUAAUAGUUAAGUACAAAAAAUCAUUGAUACAACCACCCCAUGUGGUGGCGGCGUUGGUUUGGGCUUUGUCCUCCUCACGACGAGGACAAGUUCGAAUCCUAACAUCGUCAUUUGUGGACUUACCUAUGAUGUCAGGGUGGUGGUUUCCUUGGCGUCGCUUUAGGGUUUACUCAUCGGCUGCCGGCUAUACGAGGUCUCUUGGGUCACAAAAAAAAUAAAAUUAUUGAUACAUUUGAAACACAUUUAUACCAUACUAAUCCAAAACUAAUACAACCAUAACAAAUUUACCAUGUCUCAUCAAAUUGAUUAAUCAGAUGACAUGUGAUAGUUGAUGGAUGAACUGACUUGGGGUUUUAUCCUUCGAUUGUCACAAGUAUCGGUUUAUGGUUUUUCUUUAUAGUAAUCAAAUUUAAUAGAAACUAAUAAAAAAAUUUAUUUGGCUAAAGGUGUAGUAGGUAUCCUAGUUUGAAUUUUCAGCGGUUAAAAAAUAAAUUUAGAAUAAAUUUAUUAUAUAUUUACUAAUUUGAAGGAUUUUUUUUUUGCGAUAUUAAUUACUUUCUUAAAUUUAUGUUUGUAGGACUGCCCAUACGCAAGAGCAAAAGUAGGGAAGUCAGAGACUCUUUUAAGAGCUGAAGACUAGGUAUCAAUGAGUUUCGUGGGACUUGAGGCUUCUGCAGAGAACGAAAGACAGAAGACGCGACAAGUGAUGAUGAUGCGAGAGGAGAGAAGAGAGUCAGUGCAGAACUGUACAAAUUAAUUGCAUGAGAUCAUCCAAUCAAUCGAGCAAAGGUCGGGUCUAAUCUCAUCUGAUCUUAACUCGUGCCGGAGCAAAUCAAUACGUGAUUCUGCGAACUGUCUUUUCUAAUCACGGCCACGUCCGAUCCGAUCCGAUCGGAACAAUCAUGGGGCGAGAUUGGACUGAAGUCAUGGUGAGAUGCGUUGUCCUCAAUUGGAACGUCAUACCCUUUCUUUGGAAGUGUAUAGAAAAGGAAUGGGUUUCGGAUUGUGCUCUUCUAGGGACUUAUUUGAAAAGAAAACAUGUUGCUUCUUCCAAUUUUAUUUUUAGCUACAAGUUAAAUAUUUUCAAAUCCAAUCAGAAAGUUUCGGAGACUCAAAGAUCUUGAGAUUGAUCAUUGGUAUUUGGAGGCAAAAAGGCAAUUCUUCUAGGCGGAGGAUAGGGCUACAUUUUAGAACAACAAACCUGUCUUGGAUUUACAUUAGUUUUUAGUGUAUCUAAAAUUGUAGAGAAAAACUAAUGGCAAUGUCUACAAUACAUGUCUGCAAUACUACUUUGUUAAUCAAUAUAUCUUUUGAAAUAUUCAUGUUCUUUUUUAUAUAGGAUUUAGAUACAUUUUAUAUAUGUGUGAUCUCUUUCAACCUAAUAUAUAAAUUUCUAAAUCAGACAUUUUAAUAAUAUCAACAAGGACAAUUUUGACAAAAAAAGAAAAAGACGACGAUUGCUACAUUUGGAAAAUUCUUUUUCAUCGGUUUUAAAAAAUGUGUCAUUUUCCAUGCUUGAUAAGGGCCUGCUUGUUUUUACUCCAAAUAGUGUUUGAUUUUUUUUUUUGCUCUAAAAAAAAAGAACAAAAAUCCGUUUGGUAAAAUUUAAUUCCCAGAAACAAAAAUUUAUUUAUUUUAUUCCCGAGAAUAGAUUUGAAACAAAAUCAAAAAGUAGAAAAAAAUAAUUUCUUAUUCCCAAAAACAAUUCUUAGAAUUUGUUCAUAUUUUUUUCCUUUCUUCUAUUUUCUAUUUUCUUUUUUCUCUUCUUCUUCUUCCUUUGGGCCGGUCGUCGGCCCUGGCUAUGACCAGCGACCUCGCCAAAGUGUUGCCGGUCCUUGGCGACGCCGAGCCUCGCCAGUGGCCAUGCUCACCUGGCCACGGGCGAGGCUCAACCUCACCAAAAUAUGGCGAGGCCAAGGCUUGUCGGACCUCACCCUAGCUUAGCGAGGCUCCAGCGAGCUCGUCGAACUCGUCCAGCAGGUCGUUGACCACCACCGUGGCCAGCAACAAGCUACAAAGAAGAAGGAGGAAGAAGAGAAAAAGAAAAAGAAUAAAAAUAUAUAAGUAUUAAAAAAUUAAAAGAAACAAAUAAUUUAAAAAUUUUACCAAACACAUUUCUAUAAUGAGAAUAGAAAUUUUGGACAGUUAUCAAGCGCAUUUUUUUGCUCGGAAAUUAUUCUCGGGAACAAAAUCAGAAAAAAUCAUAUUUGAUCAAAAUGUUAUCCGGAACAAAAUAGUUACCGAACGCGCCCUAAGAGUCCAUAAUAGUUCACAAAUUAAUAGUUGGCAUCUUUUUAUUUUAGUAUUUUUAGCAUCUAAAUAAUCAAACAUAAUAUCACCUAAUUUAUUUUUUAUUAAUUUCUCUUUUGGGGGCUCUCUUCAAAAUUGGCGUGCAGGGGGUGGGGGGUCCGGAGCUCCUAAAGGUCACGGGGUCGCCGUCAAUAACCUACUAAAGCCUCCCUGCCUUACAGGUUACAGCCCAGACCGCCACGUCACCCCUACAGCCUGGCAGAGACUCCCAUCCCUGCAUCCCCCGACCAAUCGCUUCACUCCACGUGGCACUCCCUUGACGUUGACCCUGAUUCUUUGUCUUCACGAGACUGUAUUUUGCGCACGCCAAUUAAUAAAUUAUUGCGCGCACGAGUAUCCUACGCCACUACAUUGUACCGAAUACCUUAAAAAAACCCAAAAGCUUGGACAUAAAAAUGGUCAUCGUCGUUCUCUUUUUCUUUUUUCUUUUUUUCAAUUUAAAGAGAGAAAAAGAUUGACGCGACGUUUUUUAUUAUAAAUAAAUUAAAAAAAAAAUUGAAAUGAAGGACCCGAAGAGGACACGUUAGGUAUGCUCUUUUUCCCUCGCUAUAAAUUACUUUCCCUCCCACGUUAAAAUUAGCAAUCACUUCUCUCAGUUUUAUUAAUAACUAAUGUCCCAUCAUCAUUGUUCACGUCACCUACCCCCUAGAAUUUUGGGUACCUACCCCCUAGAAUUUUGGGUAGGAAGUACAUGUACGUCCAAUCUCGUGCAAGAGUAGGAGAUACUUUUGCUUUCGAAUCUUUUAAAGAAAAGGCUAGUUCUGUCCAGCAAAUAGAUUUUUUUGGGAGGGUGUCUAGGCCUUAAAAUGAGCGUAGAUCUAACAAGACAUGACAUUCAUAGUUUUUAAUGAAUCUUGUCUCAUUUCUCUUUCUUCAUAUGAAUUAUUUUCAUCAUUACAACAAUUGAAUUGGACUUGAAUCAAUCAAAAUCAUUAUGAUUAUGUAAGUGCUCUAACACUCAAUCACAAAAAUUACACUUAAUUUAUAGAUUCAAGUUUAGCUAGGAAUUAUCAUUCUACAGACACAAAGAAUAAUCGACUUUACCUAUAAUUGAUUCGACACAAUAUUUGAUUUAAUCGCAUUAUCACAAUAGAUACACUACCACACCUAAAUUGGCCAUAUUCAUAUGUAUCGAAAAUCAAUUUGGCUACGGCCAGGAAAAAAAAGGAAGCGGUUUCAAUCAACAUUGAUAUACCACAAAGUCAUAAGGAAGCUUCUGACAAAAAAAAAAGAGUCAAAAGGAAGCACAUAAAAAAAAUACUUGGCUAAUCUGUCACAGCUGUUUCCCUCUCCUCCUCCUCUUCCCAAUAUAAAUACCCUCUCCCUUCAUAUCUUUUCCCACUCCUCUCUUUACUCUCCCUAUUCUCUCUGUGAAAGCUUCGAGGCCGCGUCAAUGGCGUCUAACUCACUCGUACUUCCUCUCUUCUUCUUCCUCGUCAUCCUCUUCUCGAGCUCCAUCUCCUCCUCCUCCGCCGCCCUUGUCCAGCAACAACCUCUCGUCCUCAAGUACCACAACGGAGCUCUGCUCAAGGGCAACAUCACCGUCGACCUCGUCUGGUACGGUCGCUUCUCCCCCACCCAGCGAUCCGUCAUCGUCGACUUCAUCCGCUCCCUCGGCUACGCCCGCUCCCCUCCCCCCUCCGCCGCCUCCUGGUGGCGCACCACCGAGAAGUACAAGGGCGGCGGCUCCAACCUCGUCGUCGGGAGGCAGGUCCUCCACGAGGCGUACACCCUCGGGAAGUCCCUCAAGAACCGCCACCUCCGCGCCCUCGCCGGCAAGUUCAAUGCCGCCCCGGGCACCAUCACCGUAGUCCUCACGGCAGCGGACGUCGCCGUGGAGGGGUUCUGCAUGCGGUGCGGGACGCACGGGUCGGCGCGGCCCGGGUCGGCGUUCGUGUGGGUGGGGAACUCGGAGACGCAGUGCCCGGGGCAGUGCGCGUGGCCGUUCCACCAGCCCAUGUACGGCUCGCAGACGCCGCCGCUGGUGGCGCCGAGCGGCGACGUCGGGGCUGACGGCAUGGUGAUCAACCUGGCGACGCUUCUCGCCGGCGCCGUCACGAAUCCGUUCGGGAGCGGGUACUUCCAGGGCCCGGCGGACGCUCCGCUGGAGGCGGUGUCGGCGUGCACGGGGAUAUACGGGUCGGGCGCGUACCCGGGCUACCCAGGC
rnacentral:lncRNA from 1 species